UGACAGACUCUUCUUCCUCCAUCCCGAUCCCGAUCCGGCGAUACCCUCACCUCGCGCGCCCGCCGCCGCCUCGAGCGCCCGCCGCUCCCUCUCGCGGCCUCCUGCACCCCAGCCGCAGCCUCGCCUCGCACGCGCCUCUCGCGCCCCAACGCACCCGCGAGCCCCGGCCGCCCCAUCUCACUUCCUCGCGCACCGGCCGCAGCCUCGCGGCCCCCAUGCGCCCGCGACCGCCGCCGCCUCCGCCCCCUAGAGCUGCCGUGCCCUCCCUCCCGUUCUUCCUCCUCUCCCAACGGAAUCAGGUGAUUCUCUUGUGCUGAUUUCCCUUUUCGCUGGUUCCUAGGCUGGAAUCUGGUUAUACAAGAGCUGUGAGAUUUUUCGCUUGUAAGAUUACUAAUUGAAUUCAGUGGGCUGGUUGUGAAUUCAGAAUUAUACUGUGAGUUUCAUCCUGUGAGAUUCUUGACUUGUGGGAUUCAGAAAUUUUUGUUGAAUUC
rnacentral:lncRNA from 1 species